rnacentral:rRNA from 1 species
AUUGAACGCUGGCGGCAUGCCUUACACAUGCAAGUCGAACGGCAGCACGGGUGCUUGCACCUGGUGGCGAGUGGCGAACGGGUGAGUAAUACAUCGGAACGUACCUUAUCGUGGGGGAUAACGCAGCGAAAGCUGUGCUAAUACCGCAUACGCCCUGAGGGGGAAAGCGGGGGAUCGCAAGACCUCGCGCGAUUAGAGCGGCCGAUGCCUGAUUAGCUAGUUGGUGGGGUAAAAGCCCACCAAGGCGACGAUCAGUAGCUGGUCUGAGAGGACGAUCAGCCACACUGGGACUGAGACACGGCCCAGACUCCUACGGGAGGCAGCAGUGGGGAAUUUUGGACAAUGGGGGCAACCCCGAUCCAGCAAUGCCGCGUGAGUGAAGAAGGCCUUCGGGUUGUAAAGCUCUUUUGUCAGGGAAGAAACACCGGCUCUAACACAGUCCGGGAAUGACGGUACCUGAAGAAUAAGCACCGGUUAACUACGUGCCAGCCGCCGCCGUAA